GAUGAACGCUGGCGGCGUGCCUAAUACAUGCAAGUCGAGCGAACGGACGAGAAGCUUGCUUCUCUGAUGUUAGCGGCGGACGGGUGAGUAACACGUGGAUAACCUACCUAUAAGACUGGGAUAACUUCGGGAAACCGUAGCCAAUACUGGAUAAUACUUUGAACCGCAUGGUUCAAAAGUGAAAGACGGUUUUGCUGUCACUUAUAGAUGGAUCCGCGCUGCAUUAGCUAGUUGGUAAGGUAACGGCUUACCAAGGCAACGAUGCAUAGCCGACCUGAGAGGGUGAUCGGCCACACUGGAACUGAGACACGGUCCAGACUCCUACGGGAGGCAGCAGUGGGGAAUCUUCCGCAAUGGGCGAAAGCCUGACGGAGCAACACCGCGUGAGUGAUGAAGGUCUUCGGAUCGUAAAGCUCUGUUAUUAGGGAAGAACAUAUGUGUAAGUAACUGUGCACAUCUUGACGGUACCUAAUCAGAAAGCCACGGCUAACUACGUG
rnacentral:rRNA from 1 species